rnacentral:misc_RNA from 1 species
GAUGAAGAACGUAGCGAAAUGCGAUAAGUAAUGUGAAUUUCAGAAUCCAGUGAAUCAUCGAAUCUUUGAACGCACAUUGCGCCCGCCAGCAUUCUGGCGGGCAUGCCUGUUCGAGCGUCAUUUCAACCCUCGACCUCCCUUUGGGGAAGUCGGCGUUGGGGACCGGCAGCACACCGCCGGCCCUGAAAUGGAGUGGCGGCCCGUCCGCGGCGACCUCUGCGUAGUAAUCCAACUCGCACCGGAACCCCGACGCGGCCACGCCGUAAAACACCCAACUUCUGAACGUUGACCUCGAAUCAGGUAGGACUACCCGCUGAACUUAAGCAUAUCAAUAAGCGGAGGA